rnacentral:rRNA from 1 species
GGCGAACGGGUGAGUAACACGUGGGCAAUCUGCCCCUCGCAGGGGGACAACCGGGGGAAACCCCGGCUAAUACCCCGUACGCUUACGGAGCCGCAUGGCUCCGUAAGGAGAGGUAGCUUCGGCCAUCCGGCGAGGGAUGAGCCCGCGGUACAUUAGCUAGUUGGUGAGGUAACGGCUCACCAAGGCGACGAUGUAUAGCUGGUCUGAGAGGAUGAUCAGCCACACUGGGACUGAGACACGGCCCAGACUCCUACGGGAGGCAGCAGUCGGGAAUCUUGCGCAAUGGGCGAAAGCCUGACGCAGCAACACCGUGUGAGCGACGAAGGCCUUCGGGUCGUAAAGCUCUGUUGUUGGGGACGAAGGGUUAGGGGUUAAUAGCCCCGAGCCUGACGGUACCCUUCGAGGAAGCCCCGGCUAACUACGUGCCAGCCGCCGCGG